rnacentral:tRNA from 1 species
GACCGCGUAGCUCAGUUGGAAGAGCAUUGGGCUAGUAUUCCAAAGGUCGUAGGUUCGAAUUCCACCGUAGCCG